rnacentral:tRNA from 1 species
UGGGCUGUAGCUCAGAGGUAGAGCAACUAUCUAGCAUGAACAAGGCUCUGGGUUCAAAUCCUAGCACUGCAA